UAUCAAUUCCAUGAAAUUUUGCCGACCAAACAGCUGUUACAAGGAUAGGUUUUCGUGAACUAACCGACGCCUAUUUCAACUCGGCGUGUCACUAGACCUGAUGUAUACGAGAUCGGACCGGAAUCAGGGCCAAACGCACCGCUCAGCAGGGCGUCAGCGCGGAAAACUGGCUGUUCCGAAGGACAGAUACUGUCUACUGUCCACCCCACGAUGAUGAUCGAUGCGUUUAGAGGACACCGAAACACGCAUCUUCGAUGCUCCGGCAAGCUUUUGAUUGACCUGCUGAUGCCAGGCUCGCAGCCCGGGUGAUUUAAUCGAUUGCUCCGCAGUACACGGUCUAGCCCUUGACGAAGAUUUUGUUGAACACGGUUUCGAUGAGAAUUCUCUGCAUAUUUUAAUCGUGGAUCUCCCUGUUUGCGUUCUUGGUGACAUAAAAAUAUGCGAAGUUUAAAUAAAUCCAGUCCAAUUGUCAUUGUUCCAAUGAACUGCGGAUUUUACGCGAUUAUCUUAAAAAAUUCACUGGUCGCGCCCAGUGUUUCAUAAAAUGAUCAAGGAAGAUCAGGAAACAGCUUGACCGUAACAAUGGCGUCGGAAGCAACGGUAGAAUGUGCGACGAGCGAAUUUUCUGAUGCGUUUACGCACCGUCGAUGAUCGAAGACCAACAGGCUGCGCGCCACGAAAGCGCAUCCCGCACAUGCAUGAUUCAUGAUCGACACGGGCUCGUUGAGUUUUUGUACCGUUAGAAAAGGAGGCAGACGUUUUCUAACAAUGCCAGCCAAUCUGGGAUGCCUCCUUGCACUCCUGUGCAACGUUCACAGCCUACUUAUCACACCCGGCUCCAUCGCACCGAAUGAUUCACCCAACUUGAUCACCUCAAAUUAUUCGCAAAUUGCACGUUGCGCGAAGCAUGCAUGAUUUUCAGCAUGGGGUAUAAGCUGCGAAUCGCUUUUUUCCUCUGCCAUUGUCGCGUACCGAUCGAACCGUUUCGAAGUCGUUCUAACAUUGACGAUUAUGCUUCGAUCGCGUACGAUAUCCUUUAUUUUCUGCAUUUGCAUCGUUUUUCGCAACGACACGAGAUUUAUGAAAAUUAAAAAGACAAUUUUUAAAUUAUUCAUCAAAAUUGUUUGCUCCGGUCAUAACUUCCCAUGGAAGCGUUUUUUAGAAUUUUUAGAAUUGUAAAAUGAGAAACCGGUCAUUUGACUGAGUAGAUCGAUUAGGCUUACUUGUUUAUUUAUUUAUAAACAAGAUGAACCGUUUUGAUGUAAUGAAAUACAGAUUUUAUAUGGGACAAUUGUAGAACGCGAGUAGUAACAUUACUUCUGAAAGUAGGGGAAGUGGCGUGAUUUAGAGAUUUGCAAAGUCUGUUUACAUGAAGAAAUAU